AAUGCCCCUAAAGUUGUUGCGGGUGUGCCUGCUCUGUCUCAUGUGGAUCAGUUGGUGGCAGAAGGAAAAAAAGCUCUGUUCAUGCUUAGUGUUCUGACCUUUGAACAUUUGAAUAAUUAGUAGCUUAGUAGA